ACGGUGAAACCGCGAAUGGCUCAUUAAAUCAGCUAUGGUUCCUUAGAUCAUACUAUCCUACUUGGAUAACUGUAGUAAUUCUAGAGCUAAUACAUGCAACAAAGCCCUUCUCUUACGGAAGGGCGCACUUAUUAGAUCAAAACCAAUCGGAGCUUGCUCCGCAGUUUUGAUGACUCUGGAUAAUUUUUCUGAUCGCACGGCCUUUGCGUCGGCGACGUAUCUUUCAAAUGUCUGCCCUAUCAACUUUAGAUGGUAGGUGAUUUGCCUACCAUGGUUAUAACGGGUAACGGGGAAUCAGGGUUCGAUUCCGGAGAGGGAGCCUGAGAAACAGCUACCACAUCCAAGGAAGGCAGCAGGCGCGUAAAUUACCCACUCUCAGAACGAGGAGGUAGUGACGAAAAAUAACGAUGCGGGACUCAAAUGAGGCCCCGUAAUUGGAAUGAGUACACUUUAAAUCCUUUAACGAGGAUCAAUUGGAGGGCAAGUCUGGUGCCAGCAGCCGCGGUAAUUCCAGCUCCAAUAGCGUAUAU
rnacentral:rRNA from 2 species